AUGAACGCUGGCGGCGCAUUUAAGACAUGCAAGUCGAACGAAAACGAACAAAUUAAGAAGAGUGGAAGAUUUAUCUGAAAUGAUUUUUAGACCGUGAGUUUUAGUGGCGGACGGGUGAGUAAUACAUAGAUAAUCUGCCUUUUAGAGGGAAAUAACUAGGAGAAAUCCAAGCUAAUGUCCCAUAAGACCACAUUAUCGCAUGAUAGAGAGGUCAAAGGAGAAAUCCGCUAGAAGAUGAGUCUAUGGCUGAUUAGUUAGUUGGUGGGGUAAGAGCUUACCAAGACAAUGAUCAGUAGCCGAGCUGAGAGGCUGGCCGGCCACAUUGGGACUGAGACACGGCCCAGACUCCUACGGGAGGCAGCAGUUGGGAAUAUUGGACAAUGGAGGAAACUCUGAUCCAGUGACGCCGCGUGAAGGAAGAAGGUCUUCGGAUUGUAAACUUAUUUUAUCAGGGAAGAAAUAAAUGACAGUACCUGAAGAAGAAGGACCGGCUAACUACGUGCCAGCAGCCGCGGUAAUACGUAGGGUCCGAGCGUUAUCCGGAUUUACUGGGUGUAAAGGGCGAGUAGACGGAACUGCAAGUCAGAUGUGAAAUGCUAGAGCUCAACUUUAGAACUGCAUCUGAAACUGUGGAACUAGAGUGCAGGAGAGGUAAGCGGAAUUCCUAGUGUAGCGGUGAAAUGCGUAGAUAUUAGGAGGAACACCAGUGGCGAAGGCGGCUUACUGGACUGUAACUGACGUUGAGGCGCGAAAGUGUGGGGAGCAAACAGGAUUAGAUACCCUGGUAGUCCACACUGUAAACGAUGGAUACUAGGUGUAGGCAUGAAUGUGUCUGUGCCGUCGCAAACGCAGUAAGUAUCCCACCUGGGGAGUACGCCGGCAACGGUGAAACUCAAAGGAAUUGACGGGGGCCCGCACAAGCGGUGGAGCAUGUGGUUUAAUUCGAAGCAACGCGAAGAACCUUACCAAAUCUUGACAUCCCUCUGACCGGUCUUUAAUCGGACCUUUCCUUCGGGACAGGGGAGACAGGUGGUGCAUGGUUGUCGUCAGCUCGUGUCGUGAGAUGUUGGGUUAAGUCCCGCAACGAGCGCAACCCUCGUGAUUAGUUGCCUUGAAGAAAGGAACUCUAAUCAGACUGCCGUAGUUAAUACGGAGGAAGGUGAGGAUGAUGUCAAAUCAUCACGUCCCUUAUGUCUUGGGCUACACACGUACUACAAUGGGUGUUACAAAGAGAAGCGAAACCGUAAGGUGGAGCAAAACUGAAAAAAGCAUCCCUAGUUCGGAUUGUAGGCUGCAACCCGCCUACAUGAAGCUGGAAUUGCUAGUAAUCAUAGGUCAGCAUACUAUGGUGAAUACGUUCCCGGGCCUUGUACACACCGCCCGUCACACCAUGAGAGUUGAGAAUACCCGAAGUCCAUGUAAAAGUGGCCGAAGGUAGGCUUGAUGAUUGGGGUG
rnacentral:rRNA from 1 species